UACGUAGGGGGGUAGCGUUGUCCGGAUUUAUUGGGCGUAAAGAGCGUGUAGGCGGCCUGGUAGGUCUGCUGUGAAAACUCGAGGCUCAACCUCGAGAUGUCGGCGGAAACCAUCUGGCUAGAGUCCGGAAGAGGAGAGUGGAAUUCCUGGUGUAGCGGUGAAAUGCGCAGAUAUCAGGAAGAACACCUAUGGCGAAGGCAGCUCUCUGGGACGGUACUGACGCUGAGACGCGAAAGCGUGGGGAGCGAACAGG
rnacentral:rRNA from 1 species